AUAUUAGUGUUGUCCAGCCAAGCUUUCAAGUUUAUUCUGAAAAAACACCCAAAUAAUGUAAUUGGAGCAAGGAAUGUGGGAAUACAAGCAUCCAUCCUGUUAAAGGAACCCUUUUUCUUUUCUUUUUUUUUUUUUUUUGAAAAAUGGGCCAAUUGCUUUUGUAAAUGGAACAAAGGAAUUGUUAUAACUUAUCCAUGUGGUACAUGGUACAUUGAUUCAGAAAAUUACUUAUCACAAGGAUUCAAAGAAUCCCAUUUUCAAAUUCAGAAAAUUACUUAUCACAAAGAUUCAAAGAAUCCCAUUUUCAACAUUCUUCCAACUUUCACACAAUGAACACUAUUCUUUUGUGAACUGCCACCAGCUUUACUAAGGCAUAAGUUGCCCCAAUUACUUGCCAUGAGAGCGUUAACAAGGUCAGCACGAUCCCUCUGCACUAAGAGCAGCCGCGGCGGCAGGGACGGAGGCGUCGACAUCGAACAUGCCAAACGUAUCCUUGUUGUCGUUACUCAUCGUUAGUGGAUUCAGGAAGCUGUUUGGGAAGCGAGAAAAUGAAACAGAGAAACGAGAGUGGAGAUCCUAGAAAACGAGGGAAAAUCCAGAGUGAGGUGC
rnacentral:misc_RNA from 1 species